rnacentral:misc_RNA from 1 species
CAGAGUUGAAAAACUCCCAAACCCUUUGUGAACCUACCCAUCGUUGCUUCGGCAGGCGGCCCCAGGGCGGGGCUGUAGCCUUUCGAGGUGCCUGCCGGAGGUAUGAAACUAUAUCUAUUGUAUACUCUGAGUAAAUAUUAAAUAAGUCA